rnacentral:rRNA from 1 species
GAUUCUGGCUCAGGACGAACGCUGGCGGCACGCCUAACACAUGCAAGUCGAACGGAGUAUUUGGAGCUUGCUUUGAAAUACUUAGUGGCGGACGGGUGAGUAACACGUGAGCAACCUGCCUUUAAGAGCGGAAUAGCUUCUGGAAACGGAUGGUAAUACCGCAUAACAUUACCGGAUCGCAUGGUCUGGUAAUCAAAAGAUUUUAUCGCUUAAAGAUGGGCUCGCGUCUGAUUAGAUAGUUGGUGGGGUAACGGCCUACCAAGUCGACGAUCAGUAGCCGGACUGAGAGGUUGAACGGCCACAUUGGGACUGAGACACGGCCCAGACUCCUACGGGAGGCAGCAGUGGGGAAUAUUGCACAAUGGGCGGAAGCCUGAUGCAGCGAUGCCGCGUGGAGGAAGAAGGUUUUCGGAUUGUAAACUCCUUUUAUCAGGGACGAAAAAUGACGGUACCUGAAGAAAAAGCUCCGGCUAACUACGUGCCAGCAGCAGC